AUAUUAAAAAAAUAGAAAAUUAAAUUUCGAAUCAAAUGGCAUCUAAAUAGGAGUCCUGGAUAGCAAGAUAUAUGAAAAAUACCAUUGCGGACACAUUCCCCCACGCGUGCAGGUAGGCGUGUGAAACUCACGCACAAUACAGUUCGCUACAAUGCGCGCUACAGUCCCCACGCGCAUAAUUGGGGCUUGUAGACCACAUGCUGCCUUGCGCGACUCCGAUGACGUUGGAUCUGGUACCAUCCAACUCGAUUUUUCAUUCUAAAUCCAGUGGUGCCCUCAAAUUUUCAAAAGUCAAAAUAGUUUAAAAACCGAUUCUGGCAUAUUCAUCAUCUUCUCCAAAAUUAGGGUUUCUAAAUUUUAGCGAUCAGAUUCUUGUUUUAACCAUAACUUUCCUGUUUUAUGUCCAUUUUUAACAAAUCACAUAUCGUUGGAAAGAUCUCAAAAGGAUCUUUCCAAUGAUAUAUUACAUACAAUGCCAGAUUGCCUAAAUCAAAAGUUAUAAGCAAAAUAAGUUUUGGGUUUCAUGAUUUCUUAGGGUUCAUGCAACCUAAGCCCUAGGCCGUUUUUAUGUCUAUCAAUUCUAGAAUUUUUACUAUAAUUCAAGCACUUCAAAACAUAAAAUUAAUAGCCACCAGAUCACUCAUUCCAUAAAAAGCAAUUAACAUAUAAAAUUCAAACUUUUUUCAUGAAACAAACUUAACCAUAUGCGUGAAUCCAACAAAAAAAUUAGGCUUUGAUACCAAUGAAGGAAAGUAAAAGGGAUUCAAAAGCCUACAUUUCUUCAAGCAGUGCAGUAAUCACAGUAUGAAAUGCCUUUUAAUUGGGUUGUACAAUUUUUCAUUUUCAGAAUUGAACUCAGAAGAAGAGAAGAAGAAGCUAUUAUUUCUUUUCUUUCAACUUUAUAUGGAGUUUUUUUUUUUUUUAAUUUUAUAAACAACGGUUGGGGAAGUUGAUUCAAAAUCAAAUUCCGUCUAAACUCCCAUAAACCAACGUGUAUGGUAACUGUUUAACAGUCACCAUACUCGGGUUGGGUUGGGUCAGCCAUUCAUGGGCGACCCAUUCGUCCAACAACAACAAACAUUUCAUUCACCGUUUACAUUUCCUCUGCCUGGUUGUGAUAUCUCUGGCCAUACUGAUUACACUAAUAGAGGAUCUUUCAUGCACUAGUUUGUUACGCCCAAUCUUUAAGUUGUCACUCCAAAGGUGCAAGCCCAAUCGCAAUUUUGAUUCCACCAAUCCUUGUGCUUUAGAUUCUGAAUGCGUCACUCAUUGAGAGAUAGCCUGAAGAAAUCCCCGCGGUCGUUGCUAGGAAUCAACAUAGUCCAGACCUGCCUAGCUGCCAAACAGUCCUGUAACACAUGCAACACAUCUUCAACACAGCCAUUACAACGACUGCAUUCAACAUCAUUACUGAUAUGUCUCUUGUGUAACUCAGCUUUGCACUUCAAUUUACCUUGAACAGAAAGCCAAAGGAAGACUCUAAUACAUUGAGGUCCCCUACAUUUCCAAGUAGCAUUGUUGACUGAAAAUUUCUUGUGCUCUCUUUCCAAAGAGAAUUCUUCUCUAUGAAAUUUAACUAGUCAAUUUUUCAGGUGCUAUCAUUCUAAUUAUUCCAUUUUUAAUUAAUAU
rnacentral:lncRNA from 1 species